UCCCUCAUAGCUCAGACAGUAAAGAAUCAGCCUGCAAAGCUGGAGACCCAGAUUCAAUCUCUGGUUGGGUAG
rnacentral:tRNA from 1 species